AACCGGGUAAGGCCCCCGCCCAGACCAGCGGGUUGAUAGGCCGGAAGUGGAAGCACCGCAAGGUGUGCAGCUGACCGGUACUAACAGGCCGAGGGCUUGACCA
rnacentral:rRNA from 1 species